GAAGUAUUUCUGCCCAAUAACCAACUCUUAGCUGGAUAAACAUUUUUUAAAAAGAUAUCUGCGGGCCCUUGGACUCUGCUAACCCUCGGUGAACGGUCCUUGAAUGCACCCACUCAAGCUCGGAACUACAGAGCAUCUCAGAGAGCCAGAAAAAUCUGCCUCUGCUGCUUGCUGCUCUUCUGGUUCCUAAGGAAGUGACGUGGGUCUGAGUCACCCAUCACUUCUCCCAGUUGCUAGGCAGCAGUCCUGGCCUGGGCUCCUGCGGGACUGGCAGGGGAUUCAGCAAGAACAUGCUCUGAAAAGGAGACCUUGAAAAUGUCAGGGGCAGGAAGGCCAAGAGCAGCCGCACUCGACUGUGACGCAGCCCUGAGGACGGUGUGAGUCACUGAAGAGGAGUUUGUAACUAGAGAACAAAGCUGCCCUGGAGUCCAGGAAAGGGAUGCGGGGGAGGCUGCCACGCCACUGAUGCCGGAACGAUUCUCUCCCCCUACCAUGAGGGAGCAACUUCCACGUCAAGACUUCUCGCCCGAAGAGCGACUGACCCUCUUUCCAAAGGCUCUGAGGCUGCAGCACUUGGGCAGGGAUCAGCAGCAUCAAUCAGCUGGAGCUGGAGGUGCAAUGUCCAGCUGGAGAAGACGCACCCACGCUAGCUCUGAUCAACCUAGUGGACUAAAAGAUGUGCGGCCAUGGAGGCACGAAGAACUGCCCGACAGUCAGGAGCAGGAGCCGAGAAGUGUCAAGACUUGGGGAAUCUACACUCAGCUCUCCCACCAUCUCUUCGGUGGCACUGGACAAAUUUCAACCUCCCUGGACCACAUGUACUUCCUCUGGAAACCAAGACACUCAGGUCCUGCCUACAAGUGCACAAAAGCACUGGUUGCCCUGCCUCCUCCUAAUUAAGAAGGAAGGAAGGCUCCCCAAGAUGAUUUCACAUGCCAAGGAAACCCUGAGCUCUGAAUCCUGGAGAGCAAAGGGUUUAUGAAGAACACCCAGACGUGCUCCGUUAUAAAGAGCGCUGCGCGAAUCCCACAGCUUCCGCGGCUGGAACAAACACUGGGUGGGCAUCAUGUUAUAAUCCUGAGAAAGGGACAAGCUGUUGCACGGUCAGAUUGUUUCAUUUUCCCUUCGUACCAUGCCAGCCCUGGCUGCCUCGGCCUACCAGGGGUGACUAGUGUGGCAGGGAGGGUGCCUUCCUUCAGGCCUUGCUCACCGUCAAGCCACACUCCUGGCACUUUAUUAAAUACCACUGACUCCUCUGCAGGUGGGAGAAAAGAGGGCUCUGCUCCUCUUGCAUAGGCCAUAUCUUCCUGGCUUGCUGCGACUGAAAUUCACGGCUCCAGCCAGGUAAAUCGAGCCCUGCUUGAACUCAAGCGGAAGAUCCGCAAGGCAAGCCCGGGGCAAAAUGAAGUGGGGCUGGUGAUUCGGUAGAAGGGCGGCUCUUCCCUUUGUUAGUACAGUUAAUGCACUGGGCCCUUCAUGGACAACUAAGUCAAUGGGACAAGCUCCCCGCCCUGAAGAGCUGGUACAUGGAGCUUCUCUGCCCCGCUGACAUUCUGCACGGGAGAGUGGGAUAGGGUGGCUGCUCUGAACACGGAUGGACUCGUUACCCUGGACGAAAAGCCCCCUUUGGACAUCCCCAGAGAGCUAGUGCAGCAAGCUAGUGGGUCUAGGGAAGAUCAGAUCGAUUCUUCCAGCCCAACUCUGGAGGGAACCGCAGAGACCAGACUGAUGUGUCACAGGGUCCGCAGGAUGCACGGACCUUUAGUUCACACUCGGCUCAGGGUGGUACCGAGCCAACUGUUAACCAGCUGGUUUCCUGUGAAAUGACUGGGGAGGUCUGGGACCAGGGUCUGAGUCCCAAAACCACCCUGAGCAGCACUCGCCCACCCCCCCUCGUUGGCAGGAGGCCAAGCACUGGCCAGGGAUGGUGGGACUGUGCUCCCCACUAGCACCUAGAAGCAGCCCUGCUCCAUAUCAGCAUGUGGGUGAAGCGUCUUCCGUGGGGCUGUCGGUUCAGCACUGCUCACCCCAACAGCACUCGGCAGACCGGCCCCAGCUGCUGGUGGCCGUCAGGACUCAUUCGCCUCUCCCCCAGGCUGGGAGCUCAGUCAGACGCCGAGCUGGCACCUGGGAUUCCCCUGGAGCUCAGGCGGCAAGAGCCAGAGGCCCGGGGGCGGGAAUGCUAGAACAAUGUUGACAGUGGCGGGGCAGGGAGAGGGCUGAAGCUCACUGAACCAAACUGUAAUGCUUUUGGUUGCUAUUGUCACUUCAACCCAGAGGUGCUGCCACACACCCCUAGUUUGAGCCCCCCGAGCAGCCCCAUGUGCAGCAUAGCAACAGCCUGGGGAGAAUCCCACGGCCAGGUACCAAACCUUGGGUUCAUCCCCAUGGGGCCAGGCAUGGCCAGUGUCUUGCUCAGGAAUUCCACAUAGAUCCCCCCCAGGACUCGCAUUUCAACCCCGCCACCAUUGAAGCUGCGACAUUCACAGGGAUCAGAGACAAGCCUGGCCUCUGCCUACAUGCCUGAAGGAUUCUAGGCAAGACUGCUCUGGCUCGACGGCCCGAAGGGUCCAGCCGAAGCACACAGCCUCGGCUUCGUGCCGAUGCCAACCCUCCCGCAAGGCCACCAGAGCGGCAGCUCCAGACGCAGCGCGACUUUGCAACUUACAGCCGUUAUGGAAGGCUUCUUCCCAUCCCCUGCCGGUGGGUGGGUGACAUCGGCACCCAGGAAGAUCACUGGCUGCUGAAAGACGGCCGAGCUGAUUGGAGAGAAGAGACAGUGGAAACGUUUGCAGCUAUUCCAGUCAGAGAGUCACAGACUGCGUGGGGUGAGUCACAUUCGCAGCCACUGAGUUAUAGGGAGAGGGCAGACUGCAGCGAGGAAACCCCUCUCUGGACUCCAGCCUAGGUAGGACGAACUAGUCUGAAAACGUCUCAGCCGCUGCCUUUUCCUGUGGUUUGCCCUGAUCUUUGCUCAUGGCAUUGCAGGCUCGCUCUACCCUGGCUCGGUGCAUCAGUGUCACAAAUCAGCCACAUUUCUAAGCUGUUUGGGUUUAGAGGCAUCUUCACACCAGACCUCAGUGGUGAGUGAGGGCAACUAACAGGAAAUACCAUGACAUACCCAAACCAAACAUUCAGGCCCCAAUCCUGCAAGCACUUAGGCAUGUGGUCGGCUUGACACACUGGGUAAAGUUAAGCAUGUGUUUCACAUGUACGAAGUGACAUAUCUGCUUAUGUCUUGCAUAACUGGGGCCUUAGUCUGAGUCAUUAAUCUUCGUGAUGAAGAGGAACAUACAGAGCCAGGAUCUGCCGGGGGUAGGGAUUCCUUUUCAGAACAGAGCCUGGACUAACUUUCUUCACCAGCUGCACAAGCUGCCUCUACUGCAGAGCGGGAACUCUUUAUUCACAUGGAACGUGGCUUCAAAGUUCUCUCCUUUUGACUCUUACGAGAUUAGACUGGUGGCCACAGCCUAGCUAGUGGCAUAUGAAGCAGCACGGAGCUCAGGUGUCUCGCAGGGGAGGACUGGUGGCAGAGCAUUCUCAGGGAGGGGCUUCCCGCUUUGCAAUUCAUUUCCUUGCCUUGAUUUGGAGCCUAGAUUCAGUGACCUUCAGGAUACACUGCAAGACUUGUCUUUUCCCUCGGGGAUAGGAAGGGAGGAGUUCGCUCUGGGGCGGGAAAGGUUUAUUUUGAGGCCUGAUCUGUUCCAGUGCCCUUUUGACAUGGUUCGAUCAGCGCUGGUAACUUGCUCAGUGACUCUAGCACUGGGGGAGGGGGAGUCUCCGUGGCCAUUUCUGCAGCUGACUCAGUUUCCAGGUUCAUGUACAAGGCAGCACCUGGGCUGUAUUUCAUCCCCCCCAAUCCCCGAGUCAGGACAGGGGAUUUUAACAGCCCCUUGCCAAGCUCUCCUACUGGUAAGGCCAGACGGAGAGGCUGGUGCAGCAGGCUCUGCUGGGGACCCUGGUUUGGUCCCUUGAUCCCAGCCCCACAGCAGCAGAGCAGAAGCAGCGUGCUGGGAAACAGGAGGGAGGAAAGCCCUGCAUUACUCUCCAGCAGCAGCUCCCCUCCUGGCCUUUUCACCAGGGCAGAGAGGCUACGAUAAGGUCCUCUAAGAGGGAAAGAGCCCACACGGAUAAAGGGGAAGGGAGAGGCAUGGGGGGCAAGCCCACCCCACUGUGGCUGGGGCCCAAGGCGGGCAGGGGACUCGUACGUACCGCUGGU